rnacentral:tmRNA from 1 species
GGGGCUGAUUCGGAUUCGACAGGAUUCAAUGAUGCUUUAGGUGCAUGCAGAGGUGCGGCUGGCCUCUUUAAUAAGCCGCAAAAAAAUAGUCGCAAACGACGAAAACUACGCACUAGCAGCUUAAUAACCUGUAUAGGCCCUCCCACUCAAGUUUUUUCUACUAGCUGAGGUUCGGGAGGUCAUCCCAGUAGGAUAGCGAGGGAAGCUUGUCUAAGGCUGAACCGCGAAAUAGUAUUAGGCCAGCC